AGGGGAAAAACUCCCUUUUAACAGGAAGAAACCUCCAGCAGAACCAGGCUCAGUAUGCACUAUGAAAUGACUGAAGUCCUUAGCGAUGACAAACAUGACAAUUAGUUUCCUUCAGAACGGAUUUGAACAAUAACAUUUGGUCUGACAAAGCAAUACAUGUAAUUAGUUCAG